CACAGGCAGGCCGUACCUCGAAAUCCCAGCGGGGACACCUGUCAGGGAGACGCACCCUCACACCGCCCAUGCAUGCCCGACGCAUCUUUGGGAUCCUUAGGGAUCACGUGGUGCUUCCUUGAAUCUCCGCUUGAGGUUUCUUCAGGCAGGUUCGGCCUUGCCCGACUCCUAGGAUCGCAGGACCAUGGCGACGAUCCCGCGGAGAGGGGACGCACUGCCACAGACGCCUGGGGGCCAAGCCGCUGGGGCCAGUCCCCCGGCAACGGUGGCGGUUACUGUGACGCGAGUCCCCCCUCAGCGCUAGCGCCUGGUGAUCGCGCCUGGGCUCUUCCUGCGUCUCCAAGCUCAGGGGCUCCUGCUUCUCAGCACUGCUGUCUGGAAAAGGCGGGAACGAGGACUAAGGCAAGCCCAGUGUGGGGCAGAGAUGGCAACACCUGGAACUAGCUUUUCAUGGGGGCAGAUAAUGUGGAGAGUGUCCCAAUUACAUCUCCCUUUAUUCUAUCCCAUACUACUAAACCCCACCAGCUAUUUGCCUACAAACUGUGUAUCAGUCAGGACAUCAGGACACCAAGAUAAAGGACUAGAGUUUGGUAAUCAACUACUGGCUCCUCCAGCAGCUCAGAAUGUGGCCUGUAUGCAUCACUUCACUUAAUUCAUUCAAGAAAUGCUGACUGAGUUCCUGCUGUGUGUUGGACACUUUCUUAGAAGUGGGACACACUGCAGUGUGUGGGACAAAGGCUGGGCCGCUCAUUGCUUAUGUUCUAGUUGAAGAGAGAGUCAAUCAACAACAUUCUACUUUCAGACAUUGAUAAAUGCUGUCAUGAAAAGACAAGGAACAUGAAAAGGUAAGAAAAGGGAUGGAGAGAGAUGGGAUGAGGGGUGCCUGGGCAGACAAUGCAAUGAUCUGGCAAAAGAGUAGGACAAUCAUGAGACUGCAUGUGUUCCAGUUUCUGCUGCUGUAAAACAGCAUCCACAGGUUACAUCUUUACUAUUCUGUUACAUACAUACUAUUAUUUAAAUAAAAAAUAGUACUAGUUAACUGUGAAAAUUGCAAUUAAUAGGGCAGAUUAAACAAAUCCUUUAAAUUUAAACAAAUGUUUUAUGGUUUUUUAUCCUCUGAUACAUUGUUUCAACUUUAAAAAACCCUCUUUAUUUGAUAUUUAAACUCUAUAUUAAUGUAUAUUCUUAAGAUACAUAAAUUUAAGAUUUUUUUCGAGACAGGGUCUCAUUCUGUCACACAGUCUGGAGUGCUGUGGUGCAAUUAUGGUUCACUGCAGACUCCACCUCUCCAGGCUCAGAUAAUCCUCCUGCCUCAGACUCCUGAGUAUCUGGGACCACAGGUGUGCAUCACCACACCCAGCUAAUUUCUUGUAUUUUUUUGUUGGGAUGGGGUUUUGCGAUGUUGCCCAGGCUGGUCUCAAACUCCUGGGCUCAAGUGAUCUGCCUGCCUUGGUGUCUCAAAGUGUUGGGAUCACAGGCGUGAGCCACCACAUCCAGCCUAAUUUAAGAUUUUUAAAAAGCAGAAUGUAAAUAUGGUCAUGCAUUGUGUAAUUCUGUGGAUACUUUCUGAGUAAUGCAUGGUUAGGUGACUUCAUCAUUAUGUGAACAUUAUAGAGUGUACAUACACAAACCUAGAUGAUGUAGCCUGAUGGUACAGCCUAUCACUUCGAGGCUACAAAUCCAAAUUGCCUGGAUACUGUAAACAAUUAUACUCAAUGGUAUUUGUGUAUCUAAACAUGUCUAAACAUAGAAAGGGUACAGUAAAAAUAUGGUAUAAAAGAUAAGAAAUCGUAUACCGGUAUACAGCACUUACCGUGGAUGGAGCUUGCAAGACUGGAAGUUACUCCGGGUGAGUCAGUGACUGAGCGGUGAGUGAAUGUGAAGGCUAGGGCAGUACUGUAUACUACUGUAGACUUUAUAUGUACUGUAUGCUUAGGCUACACUAAAUUUAUUUGAAUUUUUUUGUCGGUAAUAAAUUAACCUUAGCUUACUAUAAUUUCUUUAUAAACCUUUUAAUUUUUAAAAAUGUUUUGACUCUCUUGUAAUAAAUUAGCUUCAAACACAUUGUAUAGCUGUACACAAAUAUUUUCUUUAUAUCCUUAUUCUAUAAUCUUCUACUUAAAAAUUUUUUUAAUUUUUUUAUUUUAAUUUAAUUUUAUUUUAUUUUGAGACAGAGUCUCACUCUCUCGCCCAGGCUGGAGUGCAGUGGCGUGAUCUUAACUCACUGCAACCUCCGCUUCCCAGGUAAUAUUAUUUAAAUAAAAAUAGUACUAGUUAACUGUGAAAAUUGCAAUUAAUAGGGCAGAUCAAGCAAUUCUCUUGCCUCAGCCUCCAGACUUUUUUGUUAAAAACUAAGACACAAACACAUUAGCCUAGGUACACACAGUGCCAGGAUCAUCAAAAUGUCAUUAGGCAGUAUAAACUUUUCAGCUCCAUAAAAGUUGGAAAAAAAAUAAUAAUAAUAAAUACAAUUUUAUAAAAAGAAAAUUUUCAGCUCUGCUAUAAUCUUAUGGGACCACUACUGUAUAUGUGGUCCCUCAUUGACCAAAACAUCAUUAUGUGGCACAUGAUUAUAACAAAUGAUGGAUGGCGAGGUUGUGAAGAAACUGGAACCCUUGUGCAUUACUGGUUGUAAUAUAAAAAGGUACAGCCACUGUAAAAAAAAAACACAGUUUGGUUAUUUCUUCAUAAGUUAAUCAUAGAAUUACCAUAUAAUCCAGCAAUUUCACUUCUAGGUAUAUGCCCAAAAUAAUUGAAUAAGGUGUUUAAACAUAAACUUGUACAAGAAUGUUCAUAGCAGUACAUUUCACAAUACUCAGAUAAUCCUCUCAUUGGAAGCAACUCAAAUGUCCACCAACUGAUGGUAUUACCCAUGCAAUGGAAUAUUAUUCAGUCAUAAAAAGGAAUGAAGUACUGAGGCAUGUUACAACAUGAAGGAACUUUGAGGACAGUUUGUUAAUACGCUAUAUACUGUGUAAUUCUAUUUAUAUGAAAUAUCCAGAAUAGGUAAAUCAUUAGAGACUAGAGACAGCAGAUUAGUGGAUGCCAGGAGUUUGGGGAAGGAAGGGGUGGGAAGAAUGGGAAGUGACUGCUUAAUGGAUACAGGGUUUCUUUUUGGGGUGAUGAAAAAUUUCUGGAACUAGAUUGUAGUGAUGGUUGCACAACACCGUAAGUGUAAUAAUGUCACUGAAUUAUACACUUUAAAGUGAUUUAAAUGGUAAAUUGUAUUAUUUAUGUAUUUUACCACAAUAAAGAAGUCACCUAUCA
ensembl:lncRNA novel transcript, antisense to ZNF793